GAGGGUGAGCCAAGAGGGACGUGGCGCUCUGCGGCGCGGGCUGAGAAGCCGCGCCCCUUCCUUCUCUGGCUUUCAUGGAGAGUCCUGUGGAGCAGGAUUUGGGUGGGUGAGGUGCUUACCCGGGACGCGGACAAAAACCCAGGAUCCCACAGGACAUCACCUGGCCAAGUUCUUCAUUGUAUUCAGAAUGGGGGAGAGGGAGGCAGGAGUACUUACAAGAGACAGGAUGUCCCUGGCAGUCCAGUGGUUAAGACCUCGC